rnacentral:lncRNA from 10 species
GCGGGCCCCCGCGCUGCUUCUGCGACCAAGCGUGCGGCGCGGCGCGGCGCGGGACUGCUGCGCAGACUAUACGCGGGUCUGCCCAGGUGCACCCGGGGAAAGUCCCUGCUUUGAUAACCACAGGCAGCUACGGGAAAGAGUGGGAAAAGUGAGAUAGUCCCAAGAAACAGGCAACAGCAGGGAACAAGAUGUGGCUGUGGCAAGCGGCCAGCCAUCCCCGGUGCCGAGGGACCUGGGAGAAGCUAGGGCAGCUCCGGCAUUGUUCCUGCCCUGUGGUCCACAGCCUCGUCUUCAUCUAGCGUCUGCACCCCCUAACCGUCUUUCCAAAGCCUCGGGGAUGGCAGGGAAACUGCAGGGCUUGGGAUCCCGCAGAACCAAAGAGUUGGGAGAAAUCUGCAAUUUUGAGACUGAAGGAACAAGCCUUGUCGUUAUGUUGACACUGAAAAUAGCUUUAUGCUUCCACUCAGUGCCAGCUGAGUCACGGUCCUACUGACAUCUCCUGCCCAUUCAGGGCUUCCCACAUUUCAUCUCCCAGACACACUCUCCUGGCCCUUGCCCUAUUCUCCUUAUUGUAUACUUAAUUUUUUAAUGAACUCUCUCCCUUCCCUUCCCUUUCCUUCCCUCUCUCUCUCUCUUUCUUUCUUUUCUCUUUUUUGGAUGGAGUUUCACUCUUGUCACCCAGGUUGGAGUACAGUGGGGUGAUCUUAGCUCACUGCAACUUCCACCUCCCAGGGUUCAAGCGAUUCUCCUGCCUCAGCCUCCUGAGUAGCUGGGAUUACAGGCGUGCACCACCAUGCCUGGCUAAUUUUUGUAUUUUUAGUAGAGAUGGGGUUUCACCAUUUGACCAGGCUGGUCUUGAACUCCUGACCUCAGGUGAUGUGCCUAACUCGACCUCCCAAAGUGCUGGGAUUACCGGCAUGAGCCACCGUGCGCAGCCCCUCCUUCCCUCCCUUGUCUCCCUCCCCCACUUCCCUCUCCCCCCCUUCUCUCUCCCCCUUCCCCCCCUUCCCUCUCCCCCUCCCCCCUCCCUCCCUCCCUCCCUCCCUUCCUCCCUUCCUUCCUUCCUUCCUUCCUUCCUUCCUUCCUUCCUUCCUUCCCUCUUUCUUGACAGAAUCUCCCUCUGUCACCCAGGCUGGAGUGCAGUGGCACAAUCUCUGCUUGCUACAACCUCGGCCUCCCAGGUUCAAGCGAUUCUGUCACUUCAGCCUCCCUAGUAGCUGGGACUACAGGUGCACACCACCAUGCCCAGCUAAUU